rnacentral:lncRNA from 1 species
UGAAGAUAGGGUUUUUGAACUCAAAUUAUAAUAUCCCAAACUGUAUUUUGCAAAGCAUAAACUCAAGAAAUAGAUGCCACUGCUUUCCUUGGAAGGAAGGUGGAAAAGAAUUUCCUUAAAUUUUUGAAAGGUCUCUUCAUGACAGCCAAGUGUUUCUCUUUCUUUUCAAUCAUUGAAGGCUUUUAUUUUUAUUAUGCAUUGUAAUUAAUCAUAAGUGGGAUUAAUUAUGUCAUCUUCAUGCAUGCACAUAACAUUAUCUGAUCUGUGUUAUUCCCUAGUACCUUCCCUUUCCCUACCUCCUCCCUCCCACUGUUCCACUUGCUCUUCUCUACUGAUCCUCCUUCUAUUAUCACUUUUAAUAAUAAUUAUAACACCUUUAAUAACUUUAAGGUCAUUAUAAUUACAUGUAUUCUAUAAUACACACACAAGAUUCAUUUUAUAAUACACACACAUUGAUUCUUAUAACUCAACCACUGAAUAAUAAAUACCAAUAAUGAAUCAUGAUAGCUUUGCUUGGAGAACAUCCUCAGCCUAGAACCCCCACUGCAGUAUGAUAGCUUUAGACAUUGAGGAUCAAUCCUGGGGAUGACACACACAUCCAGCAUCCCUGGUCCCACCCCGCCCUUAGGUACAUCCUCUCAUGGCCACCUUUCCUGAUCCUGACACAGAGACCGCAUCAAAAUUUUACCACCCAUAAACUUUUAUCUAUGGACAGAUUUUUUUCCCCAUGCAAAUGUCUCCAGAAAGUUCUUUGAGUAGUUUUUCUCUGUCCUGGGUCCCUGCCUCGACUCUGAAGCUGAUCCUGGUGAGUAAGAUCUCCUCUUAAGCUACCUCUUGGCUUCUCUGCUCCAGCUGAUCCCCAGGGAGUGGUUCCAGGAUGUGCAGACAGGGUUUAAUGCCAUCCUUUUAUUACCACCAUUACUCACCUGCAGGGGGCAGAGGUCAGGAAGAUACUCAGGACCUCCUCCAGGAGCUAGUGCUAUGUAAGUAAUGUCUUCAUUUUAACUUUCAAAAAGCUGAAGAUACAAAUAUGCUUCCUGUCUAGUGACAAGGGCCACCAGAGUGGUAGCAGUUGUAUUAGCAAUAAAGAAAAGUAGGGCACAAAUGUCUGUCAUGCUGGAGAAGAUGUGUGCAGAGGGACAGGUUAAGUUGGAUUAAAAAAAAAUCCUACUGACUAGAAGUCCACAUAAAGCAAUUUUUCUUCAUGGGGAGAUUUCCCUAAGGAGUACUGCCAAGGAAGGAAAGACAAUGAUAACAGAUGGAUACACAAAGGACCUAAAAUAAUUACUAAAAUGCUGGACUCGUGAUAGUGAAGAAAGAACACAGACACUAUUUUCUGACCUUGGUCCAAAAAGCCCUAUGAUUGACCAACUGUGUCUGCUUUGGGAAACAGAGAGAGUAAAGACACAAUAGAUUAUCAUGUGACGUUGCCCACUUUUUCUUUCACAAAAUAGGUUGGAACAGGGCAUCUGUGUUUGAUUUUGACCACAUUCUUCUCUGUUUAGGUGACCAAUGGUCAUUAACCUUGAAUAUCUUUCCAGGGGAGAAACAUGGAUAGGGAGCAGAUGGAAGCCUCUUCAGAGGCACAUGGAGAGCAUUCACCCAUCUCUUCUCACUCCCCACUAAGAAAGGAGCUUUUAGGAUUAAACACAUCAAAGGCAUUGAAAAGAGCCACAAGGAUAUAGUACCUGGGACAUAGGACGGAGACUUCUAAGCAGGGAUGAGAUUGUUCUUAGUCUCAUCUUCUUUGCUUUCUCAUUUC